GAAAGGAAGUGUGAUACCUAAAAAUAACCUAAGCAAUUAUUAAUACGUGCGAACUUGAACACCUGAUCUGUUUUGAGUCAUUAGAGCCCAUGAUAUCAUAGCUGUGGCGGUUUGAAUACAUAGUAGUGCUUUGAAUGUCAACAGUCAGCAAACAGUUUUCUCAUGAAUGAUUUCAAGAAAUAAAUGUCAUAGAUGACGUUGACAUUAGACUAGACGGAAGUAGUGACGCAGUGUCAAAGUGGCGCUGACAUCGUUCACCUAGAUGGGAGAAUGACAGGGCACAACUUCUGCAUCAAAUGCCCCAACUCUCAAAGUAAAAGAAGCGCUCUUUAACUGACUUCAGUGUUAUUCUCAAACAGUGUCAAAUCAAUCAAAUCCUGUUUAAAUUUCCCAACUUUUGAAUGAAAUUCAACACUUAAGCGUUAAAGUUGUUCCGAACUGUUCAGGUACGACACUGACAUUGAAUGCAACGCAACUUCAAUUCCUCAAAUUGUAUGUAAUUUUGCAACUUUUGCAAAUUUUGCCAUUGACAUCAGCACAUGUAAAACAUUUCUUUUCGAAAACUGUCACUGUCACAUUGCAAACGUCACCUUAUAAACCAUCAAAAGACAAGUUUGGCAGCUUAAAACGUGACAAAUUGCAAAUAUUCUUUGACAUUCAGCGAAAACAUGACAGUCGUUUCAAAAAGCGCAAUAAUCUACAAACAAAUAACUGUCAGAGUGUCGACAUAUCCUAACCAAACUUUUUUUUAUGUGUAAUUAUCCAUCAAUCCGGUUCUCUUACAGGAAAAACUGUUUUACCACAGCCUAUUUCAAAGGGUGUCUUGAGACGUUACAGCUGACCGACGAAAUGGAGCAGGUGAAGGACUGGAUUAAACAGAUACACGGGGCCCCGCCCGACGAAUAGGUCCAAAUGCUUCACAACUGAAUAUUUCACCGGUUGUGUCGAGUCCCUACUUAAGUCCGAUGAAAUGCCGAGCUACCGGAAAAUGAUUGAGUAUCUGGCGAAGUAACCAACCAACCAAUCAACCAACCAAUCCAACGUGGAGCCUAAACCCUUGUGUCCUAUUAUUCUAGUCCAAAAAUCACCAUUAGGCAAUUAAUGUAUUAAUGUAGGAUAAGUGUUUUGACAGAAUUCUGUGCAUCCCUUCCCUUGACUCUGUUCGGUUUAAUUAAUUAUUUAUUUAUUUAUUUAUACAUAAGCACAUUCGCAAAAUCUCUGUCUCAGUGAGGUUGAUUUUCAUUCUCAAAAUACUGCAUUUUGUUAAAACCAACACGCAGCAUCACGUCAUUUCUAGCAAAAGUAUUGCGUUCUACAUACAUACAUACAUAUUUAUAUAUAUAAAUAUCAGUUUCCUUAUUUAUUAUUACAUUCGAUUAGCUGUUGAACUGCCUACCAGGGCUGGACGGGAGGUAGUUCAACAAUUAAGGACCAUUUUCAUCGUACAACUGAUAAAUUUAAGGAUAAAUUAUUUAUUGUACUGUUGAGAUUAUUUUAUUAUCUAGGAGUUUAAUUUAAGCGAAGCAUUGCAAAAACCAUUCCAUACGAACCAACUCUGCUAGUUUAAUCGUCAGUACGCAGUGUUUUUUGCAAGCGCCGAAACUUUUUCUUUUUAAAUAGACAUUCCGUUAUCAGUAUUGUACAGAGGUUGUCACAUGGAACCAAACAAGAAUCGGUGCCUGGUCGUUGCUGCCAAUGGCAGACCCCCUAAGUGUGUUGAUUUCAUUCUUGUAUUAUCAUACUUACAGCAUACGUAAUCGAAAUUAUUGCAAAAUGCAACAAUAAAGCAUCAAUUAAAGACGAAA
rnacentral:lncRNA from 1 species